AAUGAACGUUGGCGGCGUGGAUUAGGCAUGCAAGUCGUGCGUGUACCCCGCAAGGGGGAAAGCGGCGUAAGGGAGAGUAAUACGUAGAUACGUGCCUUCAGGUCUGGGAUAGCCACGGGAAACUGUGGGUAAGACCGGAUAAUGUCUAAGGAUCAAAGGUGUGAUUUCACCUGAAGAUCGGUAUGCGUCCUAACAGCUUGUUGGUGGGGUAACGGCUCACCAAGGCUACGACGGGUACGGGGUGUGAGAGCAUGCCCCCGCUCACUGGGACUGAGACACUGCCAGACACCUACGGGUGGCUGCAGUCGAGGAUCUUCGGCAAUGGGCGCAAGCCUGACCGAGCGACGCCGCGUGCGGGAUGAAGGCCUUCGGGUUGUAAACCGCUUUUAGUGGGGAGGAAGGCCCUGUGCAGAGCAGGGUUUGACCUAUCCGCAGAAUAAGUGUGGGCUAAGUUCGUGCCAGCCGCCGCCGUAAUAC
rnacentral:rRNA from 1 species